GUAGGAAAUAUAAAAGUAGAUUCAAUUCAGAAACACUUUCCUUUGCAAUAUUAUCAUCCAAAAACAUCCAGAAAUAAUUCAAGGAAGCAGCACUCAUGUAGUUCUUUCUGUUUGACAGUUAGAUGAUCAUCUAGUCGCCUCAAGCUGUAUCCUGUCUUUGGUUAAAUGUUUUUCGUUCAUCCCUCACAGACCCAUCAGUCCCAGAGCACAGAAAAUAAGCCGGGAUCACGAGCAGUACCACUGGGGUCCACACCUCAUGGUGUGAGAGCUUCAGAUGAGGGUUUGAGAUCUGAGGAGAAAGCCCUGGUGGAGGUCCUUCCUACCGGGGAAACCCAGGGUACCCUUUCAGCUGGUCUGGUCUACACCAGUGGCCCGGAUCUGGAGGGACCCGAAGACCAGCCCAUGGAGGAUGUGCUCUCAGAGGUCCACCAGCUUCUCGGGACUGGACCUGAUUGUCUCAUCCUGAAGGUAGGCCUUCGUACCCGGGGGGGGGGGGGGGGGGGGGGAGUAUAGUGGCGAGGGUGUCCAACUUUCAGCCAAAAGGUUCUGGGUUUGAUCCCCGUGUCCACAGACUACCUGUAGGCAUCCUAGAGCAAGAUGCCCCCUAACCUCUACCUGCUCCUUAACGACAUGGAUCUAUAUUUAAUCUAUCUCGCUUUGGAUGAAAUUAGUAAACUACAAUUUGUUAAUGGUAGAGUUGACAAACAUAUAUUCAAAGUUAUCCCCCUGCUACAUCUUAUUGCAGCCUGCUGUCAUCCACCACCCGUCCAUAACCAGUUAAAGUCCACCCACCUCUGGUUCUUGUUUUCCAUCCUGAAGGGAGAGCUUGAGGAGGACCCGGCAUCGGUUCUGGAUACGUCCAUCAGGGACCUGGAGGUUCGUCUCAACAGGCUGGAGACCAGAGUUCUGGCCUGCAGGAACCGACCGACAGACCUCAGCCCAGAAGCUAUGGCCCUGCAAUUGGAAGAGGCCCAGGAGUGCCUCAGAGCGUCCCAGACCCAGGUCUCGCUGCUGACCCGGCCCAGCCCGGAGCUGGAGGGGGGGGCUGCUGGGCCGGGUCAGCAGGAGGAGCUGGAGCACCUUGAGGGUCAGUGGAGUGCUGCGGUCGGGGACUCCUCCACCCUGGUCCGGAGCAAGGAGGCUCGUCUCCGGCUGGUGAGCCUCUACACCGGGCAGACGGAGGUCGCGAGGGCCACCCUGGAGGGCCUGGAGACAGAGCUGGAGGCUGGAGGCCGGUGAGUCUUCAUGAAGCUGUUGAGAGUAUUUGAAUUUAAAUUGUUUGGCUGAUUUUAUGACGAUGAGACGUCACUGAGGGACAGUUAUAUUAAUAAAUAUCAGAAACAGAUAUACAAACAUAUGUGCUCAAUGAGUAGUAGAAAUUAAAUGUAAACGCAGAAUUUGAAUUGGAGUCAAAACAGUAUUGAUCACUUUUGGGAUUAAUGCCUCUCCUAAAUGACAAAAGAGUUAAAUAAUGAA
rnacentral:lncRNA from 1 species